ensembl:lncRNA
UGUGUGUUAGUGUGUGUAGAGUUAGUGAUGUGUGUUAGCGGUGUGUAGAGUUAGUGAUGUGUGUUAGCGGUGUGUAGAAUUAGUGAUGUGGUGUUAGUGGUGUGUAGAGUUAGUGAUGUGUGUUAGCAGUUAGUGGUGUAUAGAGUUAGUGAUGUGUGUUAGCGGUUAGCGGUGUGUAAGAUUAGUGAUGUGUGUUAGCGGUGUGUAGAUUUAGUGAUGUGUGUUAGCGGUUAGCGGUGUGUAGAGUGUGUG